CAACCUGCCGUCUACUCUUGGACAGCCUUCUGAAAGGAAGAUUAAUACAAGAUGGCAUCAUGAGUCCGCAUGUUCACAUGAUUAAAGGUAUUCCGGUAGACGAUGGGGAUGCGUUCCAUUAGAUAGUAGGCGGGGUAACGGCCCACCUAGUCUUCGAUGGAUAGGGGUUCUGAGAGGAAGGUCCCCCACAUUGGAACUGAGACACGGUCCAAACUCCUACGGGAGGCAGCAGUGAGGAAUAUUGGUCAAUGGGCGAGAGCCUGAACCAGCCAAGUAGCGUGAAGGAUGACUGCCCUAUGGGUUGUAAACUUCUUUUAUAAAGGAAUAAAGUCGGGUAUGUAUACCCGUUUGCAUGUACUUUAUGAAUAAGGAUCGGCUAACUCCGUGCCAGCAGCCGCGGUAAUACGGAGGAUCCGAGCGUUAUCCGGAUUUAUUGGGUUUAAAGGGAGCGUAGAUGGAUGUUUAAGUCAGUUGUGAAAGUAUGCGGCUCAACCGUAAAAUUGCAGUUGAUACUGGAUAUCUUGAGUGCAGUUGAGGCAGGCGGAAUUCGUGGUGUAGCGGUGAAAUGCUUAGAUAUCACGAAGAACUCCGAUUG
rnacentral:rRNA from 1 species